rnacentral:lncRNA from 1 species
GCCAAAUCACCCGGAAAUUCUGCUUCAUCACAGCCCUUUCUCUUGCCAUAAAACUGCUUGGGCUCUGUCUUUGCUUCCACAUCAUUUAAGCCUUUCUGCCGACCCUCCAGCAAUUCCAUCCCUGGGGCCUCCGCCCGUCACUAUGCUGGGGCUCCCCAGGGCUUCUCAAGAGGCUCCGUCAGCUCCAUCCUAGAGGCCUCUUCACAGCACCAGAUGAAGUCCACACCUCCUUUUGUAGGACGUUCAAGCAACACAGGCCAGAGUAAGGAUCAAAGUAAAAGUCAUCCUAAAUUCACCACUGAGAGAUACCACUGCCGGUAAACAGGAGACUGCUUUUUCGGAUGUCUACGCAUUUAUACAUCUUGCCCAGUAACAAUGACACCCCUGAGAGAGUCUUCGGCACAUAUGAUGUCCUCUAUUGAUGUUUGCUGAAUAGAUGAGGAUGCCAAAAGAGGGAGGAGAUACCAAAAGAGGGAAAGAAGGACACCCAGAAGACAAAUGGUGCUCACCUUGAGGAAAAAAAGAAAAAGGGAACACAUAGAAGCCAACUCCAGCCUUUAAACACGUAGGAGAUCCUCAGCUAUUUGUAUGUGUAAAAUGAAGGAAGACCAAUGCCUGCUUUCCCUCCCUCUCAAUCCAGUCAAGAAACUAUGUAGUCAAGACUUACAUAGUUCCAGGAACAGGAAACUCACUCUACAGCCUUGUGAAGAAACUGAUUCCAUCUUUGGACACUUCUUUAUAAUAAACCCCAAAUCUCUCUCCUUAGAACUCAUACCUAGUGACUCCAUUUGCUUCUCUUGAGGUCAUCAAUAUCAAAUCUGC